rnacentral:rRNA from 1 species
GACGAACGCUGGCGGCGUGCCUAAUACAUGCAAGUUGAGCGCUGAAGGUUGGUACUUGUACCAACUGGAUGAGCAGCGAAGGGGUGAGUAACGCGUGUGGAAUCUGCCUUUGAGCGGGGGACAACAUUUGGAAACGAAUGCUAAUACCGCAUAAAAACUUUAAACACAAGUUUUAAGUUUGAAAGAUGCAAUUGCAUCACUCAAAGAUGAUCCCGCGUUGUAUUAGCUAGUUGGUGAGGUAAAGGCUCACCAAGGCGAUGAUACAUAGCCGACCUGAGAGGGUGAUCGGCCACAUUGGGACUGAGACACGCCACAAACUCCUACGGGAGGCAGCAGGAGGAAAUCUUCGGCAAUGGACGAAAGUCUGACCGAGCAACGCCGCGUGAGUGAAGAAGGUUUUCGGAUCGUAAAACUCUGUUGGUAGAGAAGAACGUUGGUGAGAGUGGAAAGCUCAUCAAGUGACGGUAACUACCCAGAAAGGGACGGCUAACUACGUG